rnacentral:ncRNA from 1 species
UGCUAUUAAACUUUUAUAAUUUAUAUAUAUAAAGUUUGAUCCUUGCUUAUUAUGUUUUUUUGUUAGCUUAUUUUAUAUAUUUUAUAUAGUUUAAUAAAUAGGAUAGUAGUAAAUUGAUUUAUUGAUAAGGUUAAGCUUGAUGUAGUAAUGUUAAUAGUUCUAAGACAAUUCGUGCCAGCACUUGCGGUUAUACGAAUAGAGCAAAAGAAAUCUUUUGGUAAAAAGAAAUUAGCUUGUAAUUUAAAUUAAUUUGAAAUAGUUUAUUUUUAGGUAAAAUUAGUUAUAAACAAAUUUUAGUUUAUUGAAUUUAAGGCGAAAGGUUUAAAACUAAACUGCUAAACCUGGAUUAGAUACCCAGUUAUUUUUAGUGUAUUAUUUGUUACCAGAGUAGUAUAAGUUUUCUAGAAAUUUAAGGGAUUUGGCGGUAUUUUAUUCCAAUUAGAGGAACUUGCCCUGUAAUCGAUAGUACACGAAAAGUUUACUUCUUUUUGUUUUCAGUUUGUAUAUCGCUGUCGUCAGAAAACUUUAAUAGAUUGUGUUUUCUUAUUGUAUAAUCUACAGGACGUCAAGUCAAGGUGCAGCGCAUAGAGAAGAUUGAAAGGUGAGUUACAAUAAUGAGUAUUAUUAUGAAUUGGUGUGUGGAAGUGCAUCAUGAAGGUGGAUUUAUUAGUAAAUUUUUAUAAGUUAGAGAAAUUGAUUUUUGGCUCUAAAAUAUGUACACAUCGCCCGUCACUCUCAUAUAUAGUUGAGAUAAGUCGUAACAUAGUAGGCGUAUUGGAAAAUGUGCCUGGAUAUAU